rnacentral:misc_RNA from 1 species
GUGAAUCAUCAAAUUUUUGAACGCAAAUUGCACUCUCCGGUUUUCCGGGAGAGUAGGCCUGUUUAAUGGUGAGCCUAAAAAAAAUCGACAUUUUUGCUGUUUUAUGCUUACUUUCGUCGGUGAUGUGUUAUCGUAAAUCCCGGUUUAAGCGACUUAAACAUUUUUUUUACGAUUCUAAGAAUGUUUCUAAGAUUUUUCUUGUACGUUGUAGUUAUCGAAUGUCUUAUUAGACGUGACCAUCAUAUCGUAUCGCGGUCAUAAUCUUUCAUUAACUUAC